GAAAUGGGUGCGGGGGAGGGUGUGAGUGUGUGUGUGUGUGUGUGUGUGCGCGUGUGCGCGCGCGUGC
rnacentral:miRNA from 1 species